UGUAAUAGGCCAAUUUUGGCCUGGUUAAAAAAUCAUUUAUGCAGCCCAAAUAAUUCGGCCCAAUAAGGCCCAAAUUGCUAACCCUAAUCUGCUAGCCCAAAAUACAAAACAGAGGCAGAAAGAAACCCUAGCAGCUAGCAGAAAAAUCAGCAGCCGCACCCCACGCACGUCGCAAUAACCGUCGCACGUUCUCCUUCCACGCCGCGCACAAUGCCCGUACCUGUAACAAAUAAACCUCGAGCAACACUAAUAGGAUAGAUACAUCAAAUUGUAAACGGUUUUGGCUAUAAAAACCUAGUCGAUUUCUAUAACAGGGGUUAGAAAAAUAUUGUAUUGAAAUAUUAAAGAAAUACGAGUAUAGAAUCGGAGGAGAAAAUUUUUGAAGGUGAUCAGUUCUGUUCUUUUUUUCUCUUCUUUUCUUUUUACUGUUUUCUUAUUUUCUGCUCGUUUCUUAAAAAUAAAUAAACGAAAAGAAAAGGAGAAAGUUACCUGCGAGGAGGAGAUGACGGAUUCUGCC
rnacentral:lncRNA from 1 species